rnacentral:rRNA from 1 species
GAUGAACGCUAGCGGCAGGCUUAACACAUGCAAGUCGAGGGGUAUAUGGAGCUUGCUCCAUAGAGACCGGCAAACGGGUGCGGAACACGUACACAACCUGCCUCUGUCUUGGGGAUAGCCUUUCGAAAGGAAGAUUAAUACCCAAUGGUAUAUAGGAGUGGCAUCACUUUUAUAUUAAAGAACUUCGGACGGAGAUGGGU